GUAAGCGAGUUGUGGACGGUAUACGAGUGAGAAUGCAGGCAUGAGUAGCGAUACAUACGUGAGAAACGUGUGCGCCGAUUGACUAAGGGUUCCUGGGUCAAGCUGAUCUGCCCAGGGUAAGUCGGGGCCUAAGGCGAGGCCGACAGGCGUAGUCGAUGGAUAACCGGUUGAUAUUCCGGUACCCGUGGCAGUGCGCCAACGCUGAAUCAGGUGAUGCUAAGCCCGUGAAGCCCCCAGCUGGAUUCUUCGGAUGAUGGUUGGUGUGGUGGAUCCGGUGACCCGAGCUUGUAGUAGGUGAGUGAUGGGGUGACGCAGGAAGGUAGUCCAGCCCGGGCGGUGGUUGUCCCGGGGUAAGGGUGUAGCCCGAGGAGUAGGUAAAUCCGCUUCUCGUUACAGGGGUGAGACCUGAUGCCGAGCCGAUUGUGGUGAAGUGGAUGAUCCUAUGCUGUCGAGAAAAGCCUCUAGCGAGUGCUGUUGCGGCCCGUACCCUAAACCGACUCAGGUGGUCUGGUAGAGAAUACCGAGGCGUUCGGGUGAACUAUGGUUAAGGAACUCGGCAAAAUGCCCCCGUAACUUCGGGAGAAGGGGGGCCACUGUUGGUGAUCCCAUGUGCUGGGUGAGCUGGUGGUGGCCGCAGAGACCAGCGAGAAGCGACUGUUUACUAAAAACACAGGUCCGUGCGAAGCCGUAAGGCGAUGUAUACGGACUGACGCCUGCCCGGUGCUGGAACGUUAAGGGGACCGGUUAGUCACAUUUCGGUGUGGCGAAGCUGAGAACUUAAGCGCCAGUAAACGGCGGUGGUAACUAUAACCAUCCUAAGGUAGCGAAAUUCCUUGUCGGGUAAGUUCCGACCUGCACGAAUGGCGUAACGACUUCUUGACUGUCUCAACCAUAGGCCCGGUGAAAUUGCACUACGAGUAAAGAUGCUCGUUUCGCGCAGCAGGACGGAAAGACCCCGGGACCUUUACUAUAGCUUGAUAUUGGUGUUCGGUUCGGUUUGUGUAGGAUAGGUGGGAGACUGUGAAGCUCGAGCGCCAGCUUGGGUGGAGUCGUUGUUGAAAUACCACUCUGAUCGUGCUGGAUGUCUAACCUGGGUCCGUGAUCCGGAUCAGGGACAGUGUCUGGUGGGUAGUUUAACUGGGGCGGUUGCCUCCUAAAAUGUAACGGAGGCGCCCAAAGGUUCCCUCAGCCUGGUUGGUCAUCAGGUGGUGAGUGUAAGUGCACAAGGGAGCUUGACUGUGAGACUGACGGGUCGAGCAGGGACGAAAGUCGGGACUAGUGAUCCGGCGGUGGCUUGUGGAAGCGCCGUCGCUCAACGGAUAAAAGGUACCCCGGGGAUAACAGGCUGAUCUUCCCCAAGAGUCCAUAUCGACGGGAUGGUUUGGCACCUCGAUGUCGGCUCGUCGCAUCCUGGGGCUGGAGUCGGUCCCAAGGG
rnacentral:ncRNA from 1 species